rnacentral:lncRNA from 1 species
UACAGAGUAGCCAAACCGAAUCACUGCAAAGUGAUUUGGAAACAUCAGGUAUCCUGAGGAAAGUCCCCAGAGGAAAAAAAGGAAAUCAGAAGCUGUAGGAAUGAGUAACCAGACUGACUUAUUGGCUCUUGGCACAGCAGUUGGUAGCAUUUUAUUAUACAGCACAGUAAAAGGAGAGUUACACAGUAAAUUAAUAAGUGGUGGACAUGACAACAGAGUCAACUGCAUACAGUGGCAUCAAGACAGUGGCUGUUUAUAUAGUUGUUCAGAUGAUAAACAUAUUGUGGAAUGGAACGUACAGACAUGCAAAGUAAAGUGCAAAUGGAAAGGCGACAAUAGCAGUGUCAGUUCCCUAUGUAUCAGCCCAGAUGGAAAGAUGUUGCUUUCAGCUGGUCGAACAAUCAAACUAUGGGUUUUGGAGACCAAAGAAGUCUACAGGCAUUUCACAGGACAUGCAACGCCAGUUUCGUCACUGAUGUUCACUACCAUCAGACCUCCUAAUGAGAGCCAGCCCUUUGAUGGAAUUACAGGUCUUUAUUUC